rnacentral:rRNA from 1 species
GGCCGCAGUAUAUUAACUGUGCAAAGGUAGCAUAAUCAUUAGUCUUUUAAUUGAAGGCUGGUAUGAACGGUUGAACAAAAUAUUAACUGUUUCAUAUAAAUUUUAUAUAAAAAUUUUAUUUUUUAGUUAAAAAGCUAAAAUUUAUUUAAAAGACGAGAAGACCCUAUAAAUCUUUAUAUUUAAAUUAUAAUAAUUUUAUAAAAAUUUUUAAUUAUUUUAGUUAAUAAUAUUUUAUUGGGGUGAUAUUAAAAUUUAAUAAACUUUUAAUUUUUUUUUUCAUUAAUUUAUGAAUAAUUGAUCCAUUUUUAAUGAUUAAAAGAUUAAGUUACUUUAGGGAUAACAGCGUAAUUUUUUUGGAGAGUUCAUAUUAAUAAAAAAAGAUUGCGACCUCGAUGUUGGAUU